CAGUGAAAACCAGGUGAUCACCCACGCGAGCGGUCCAGAGUUGCUGAGAUAACCGGAACUGCAGAUGCUGGAGAAUCUGAGAUGACACGGUGUGUAGCUGGAUGAACACAGCAGGCCAAGCAGCAUCAGAGGAGCAGGAAAGCUGACGUUUCGGGCCUAUAUCCUUUGCUGAGACUAAGAUUUGUGCAAUUGAGAUACCAGCGAUCGUCACCAAAGCCCUGUUACCUGUGGAGAAGUUGAUGUUUAACUUUCGUGUGCUGCUGCAGUUUGUAUGAUAAAGGUGCUCUCACAAUGCUCCAUUUGAGAAGUUACAGAUCGAUCAUCUAGCGAUACUGAAGAGCUGAUGGUGAUGCGAACCCAGGUCCCCACAAUGUUAUCUGGGUCGCUGGAUUAAUAAUCUAGCGAUAAUACUACUGCUGAUUUAUCAACCGAGGGAGGAUGAUACAUGGUAAUCAGCAGGAGCCAUGAGAUUUCCAGGCGUCAGAGUCAAUUCCACCAUCUGCUGAGAUAGGAUUCGAACCUGGACUUCUGUUGUACAUUUUAACAUUCUGGAUAAAAGUUAAAGCCAUCAGGAUAUUACAGGUGGACUUUCAGGUGGGAAGCUCAAUAAUUGUAACACCAAACUCUGACAGAAUUACUCAAUUCAUCAGGACCUGGAUAUUCACAUUGUCUAUUUCCACAAUUUUACUUUUGCACUAUUCUUAGUCUUUCAGAGGGAUCGAAAGGUUGAGUUACAGAUCUAUACAAUGACUGUCCUUCCUCGCUGGCUCUCCCACCUCUCUCUUUUGGUAGUUUGAUGCAAACACUGACUGGAUCCCUUACCUGGAGGAUACUUAUGAAUGAAUUUGUUCUAAUGGUGAUCCAGCAUAUUCCCCAAGUGUUGCUCCACACAUGUCCAGAGAAUUUCUCAGUUUCACAAUCUGUCCCCUUCUGGUUUCUUACUCGCUACACUUACUUUCUGUUUGAAAGUAUAGUCUGCAGUUGGAGAAUUUAAACAGGUCCACAUCCAGGUCUGACGGUCGCUUUGUUUAUCACAACCCAAUUUUCUCAGGAUUUUGAACAUUGAAGGAAAAAGCAGCACUCACAUUGGGGAGAAACGCACAUGGUGUGUGUGUUGAAGAGUCUGUGACGAUUCAUCUGAAAUGUCUGAACACCAGUGCAGUGACACUGGGAGACAGUGUGGAAAUGUGCAGAUUGCAGGAAGGAAUUUCUUCAUCCAUCCCAGCUAGAAACUGACCACCAGAGUGACAGUGGAGAGAGACCAUUGACCUGUUCUGCGUGAGGGAAAGGCUUUGCUGACUCGAAUUCCCCGCUGAUACACCAGCGAGUUCACUCUGGGGAGAGACCUUUCCAUGAGCUCUGAGUGUGGGAAGGGAUUCAUUGUCAUCCAAACUGUUAACACACCAGCGAGUUCACAGACAACCACAGUCGAAGAACUUUGCUGUCACUCUCACUAUCAAAUGAACCAUGGUUUUGGGCUGUUUGUACUGAUGUUACUAAUCCCUGCUCAAUUAAAGGUGCUGGUAUUGUGAAUAAAAUGUCACACUAACAGUUGUGUAA